UACGUAGGGUGCAAGCGUUGUCCGGAAUUAUUGGGCGUAAAGAGCUCGUAGGCGGUUUGUCACGUCGGAUGUGAAAACCCGAGGCUUAACCUCGGGCCUGCAUUCGAUACGGGCUGACUAGAGUUCGGUAGGGGAGACUGGAAUUCCUGGUGUAGCGGUGAAAUGCGCAGAUAUCAGGAGGAACACCGGUGGCGAAGGCGGUGGUCUGGGCCGGAACUGACGCUGAGGAGCGAAAGCGUGGGGAGCGAACAGG
rnacentral:rRNA from 1 species